CGGUUAAAAAGCUCGUAGUUGGAUUUCUGCAUGGAAGGAGCGGUCCACCCUUUGGGUGAGUUACUGCUACCUUUUGUGCAUCUUCCUGAGAAGGCGUUCUUCACUUCAUUGUGAGGCCGCAUGACUCAGGACGUUUACUUUGAGGAAAUGAGAGUGUUUCAAGCAGGCAAAUGCCUUGAAUACGUUAGCAUGGAAUAAUAGCAUCGGACCAUCGUCCAGCUGUUGGUGUCUGGGCGAAGGUAAAGGUGAAUAGGGAUUGUUGGGGGCAUUCGUAUUUAACUGUCAGAGGUGAAAUUCUUGGAUUUGUUGAAGACGGACUACUGCGAAAGCAUCUGCCAAAGAUGUUCUCAUUGAUCAAGAACGAAAGUUAGGUGAUCGAAGACGAUCAGAUACCGUCCUAGUCUUAACCAUAAACUAUGCCGACUGGAGAUAGGAAGCGUUUAUUUUACGACUCUUUCUGCAUCUUGAGAGAAAUCAAAGUCUUUGGGUUCCGGGGGGAGUAUGGUCGCAAGGCUGAAACUUAAAGGAAUUGACGGAAGGGCACCACCAGGAGUGGAGCCUGCGGCUUAAUUUGACUCAACACGGGGAAACUUACCAGGUCCGGACAUAGGUAGGAUUGACAGACUGAGAGCUCUUUCUUGAUUCUAUGGGUGGUGGUGCAUGGCCGUUCUUAGUUGGUGGAGUGAUUUGUCUGGUUAAUUCCGU
rnacentral:rRNA from 1 species